GUAGCUCCCUGGGCGCUUAAAAGAUCCAGCGGUUUGCUGUGAGUCCGAGAGGCAAAUUUGUGCCCAUUUCGAAGAUGUGAUGACUAAGGUCUCCAGAGGGCCAGGGCUCGCCCAAGGUUGGUCUGUGGUGACAGCUUUACCUCCUUGCUAUUUAUUCUCAGAUAUUGCAAACGGAGGAGAGAAAAGUGGAGAAUGAAUCCUGGAGAAAACAAGGUCGUUUCUGACGAUUUCGACAUGUCACAUCCCUGAGAGUCUCUCCUGUCCUGAUUGACUUGAGAACUGGAGGGAGUGGCAUUUUAGACACUGCAGUGAAAGCCACACAGCCACAGAAGGCCGGGACUCUACCAUGUUUGCGACCUUCACAUUCAGCAAGCUCACUUGCACUCUGCCUCGUCUCAUCUCUAGAAUGUAUUUGACCAUACCAUGUCCCUUCUUUAGUGGGAACGUCUUUGGCCAAACAUAAUGAAAAGUUCUGACCUCACUUGCUAAUACCCGGUGAUAAAAGGAUGGAAUUUGUUGGGAAUAAAAGAAAACGAAGCUUACAAACGAGGGCCCUGAUGCUCCGUUCAGAGCUUGGUCAUCUAGUUUCCAGCCAUACUGUGGUCAAGAUGACAUUUGGAGAGGCCCCAGCUGGACAUCAAUACACUGUCAACCUCUGUACUAAACCCCAAGCUGCCCCGGGAAUUUCAGUCAUUCCUAACCUCCAGAGGGCGCCUGCUAUGCCCUUACUCCCCCAAAUCAAGGUUCCAGGCAGAAACACACUGCUAGUCUCUUACCGGGCCAUUUCCUUGGUCUCCUGCCGUGCGGUCGCCAUCUUAAUUAUGUCCCUCAGAAGGGGCAACCCCCCUUCUUUGAUCAGCAGAGGGCAGUACUUGUCCGCUGUGGGAUAGGAGCAGACAGCAGAGGAUCAGGAUGGUCUUCUGAUCAGCCCGAGGCCCAGAAACCCACCCUGUCUGUGAGGACUAUCCUGGUGCUGGGGGUGUGAAGGCACAGGCCUUGGUGGGGGCAAGACAUGUGUGCCCAGCCCCAUGGGUGGGAGUUCUGCAUCCAUGUAGGGGAAGCAAGAGGUGACUCCUUGGUUUGAAGUUGCUGUAUUUAUUUCCAGAGCUCAUUCUUUUU